CGGGGCGUGGCGCAGUCCGGUAGCGUGCUUGAAUGGGGUUCAAGAGGUCGACGGUUCGAAUCCGUCCGCCCCGA
rnacentral:tRNA from 2 species